CACGUAGGGUGCGAGCGUUGUCCGGAAUUAUUGGGCGUAAAGAGCUCGUAGGCGGUGUGUCGCGUCGGCCGUGAAAACCUGCAGCUCAACUGUGGGCUUGCGGUCGAUACGGGCAUCACUGGAGUUCGGCAGGGGAGACUGGAAUUCCUGGUGUAGCGGUGAAAUGCGCAGAUAUCAGGAGGAACACCGGUGGCGAAGGCGGGUCUCUGGGCCGAUGACUGACGCUGAGGAGCGAAAGCCAGGGGAGCAAACGGG
rnacentral:rRNA from 1 species